rnacentral:rRNA from 1 species
UAGUCUGGUGCCAGCAGCCGCGGUAAUUCCAGCUCCAAUAGCGUAUAUUAAAGUUGUUGCAGUUAAAACGCUCGUAGUCGGAUUUCGGGGCAGGUUUGCCGGUCUGCCGAUGGGUAUGCACUGGUAGAACUGUCCUUCCUUCCGGAGACGGCGCCUACUCUUAACUGAGCGGGUGUCGGAGACGGAUCGUUUACUUUGAAAAAAUCAGAGUGUUUCAAGCAGGCAGCUCGCUUUUGCAUGGAUUAGCAUGGGAUAAUGAAAUAGGACUUUGGUGCUAUUUUGUUGGUUUCGAACACCGAAGUAAUGAUUAACAGGGACAGUCAGGGGCACUCGUAUUCCGCCGAGAGAGGUGAAAUUCUUAGACCAGCGGAAGACGAACCACUGCGAAAGCAUUUGCCAGGGAUGUUUUCACUGAUCAAGAACGAAAGUUAGGGGAUCGAAGACGAUCAGAUACCGUCGUAGUCUUAACCAUAAACCAUGCCGACUAGGGAUUGGAGGAUGUUCCUAUGUGACUCCUUCAGCACCUUUCGGGAAACUAAAGUCUUUGGGUUCUGGGGGGAGUAUGGUCGCAAGGCUGAAACUUAAAGGAAUUGACGGAAGGGCACCACCAGGAGUGGAGCCUGCGGCUUAAUUUGACUCAACACGGGGAAACUUACCAGGUCCAGACAUUGUGAGGAUUGACAGAUUGAGAGCUCUUUCUUGAUUCGAUGGGUGGUGGUGCAUGGCCGUUCUU